AUUGAACGCUGGCGGCAGGCCUAACACAUGCAAGUCGAGCGAGCGGCGGACGGGUGAGUAAUGUCUGGGAAACUGCCUGAUGGCGGGGGAUAAAUAUUGGAAACGGUAGCUACUACCGCAUACCAUCAGAUGUGCCCAGAUGGGAUUAGCUAGUGGGUGGGGUAACGGCUCCCCUCGGCGACGACCCCUCGCUGGUCUGAGAGGUUGACCAGCCACACGGGAACUGAGACACGGUCCAGACUCCUACGGGAGGCAGCAGUGGGGAAUAUUGCACAAUGGGCGCAAGCCGGAUGCAGCCAUGCCGCGUGUGUGAAGAAGGCCUUCGGGUUGUAAAGCACUUUCAGCGGGGAGGCGUUACCCGCAGAAGAAGCACCGGCUAACUCCGUGCCAGCAGCCGCGGUAAUUC
rnacentral:rRNA from 1 species